CCUACGGGGGACAGCAGUGGGGAAUAUUGCGCAAUGGGCGAAAGCCUGACGCAGCGACGCCGCGUGAGGGAUGAAGGUCUUCGGAUCGUAAACCUCUGUUAGCAGGGAAGAACGGUCACUGUGCUAAUCAGCAGUGAAUUGACGGUACCUGCAAAGGACGCACCGGCUAACUCCGUGCCAGCAGCCGCGGUAAUACGGAGGGUGCGAGCGUUAAUCGGAAUUACUGGGCGUAAAGCGCUCGUAGGCGGUAUGUCAAGUCAAGGGUGAAAUCCCCGCGCUCAACGUGGGAACUGCCUUUGAAACUGGCAAACUGGAGUGUGUGAGAGGAUAGUGGAAUUCCAGGUGUAGGAGUGAAAGCCGUAGAUAUCUGGAGGAACAUCAGUGGCGAAGGCGACUAUCUGGCACAUAACUGACGCUGAGGAGCGAAAGCGUGGGUAGCAAACAGGAUUAGAUACCCCAGUAGUC
rnacentral:rRNA from 1 species